rnacentral:rRNA from 1 species
GCACCCUACGGAGGCAGCAGUGAGGAAUAUUGGUCAAUGGCCGAGAGGCUGAACCAGCCAAGUCGCGUGAGGGAUGACGGCCCUACGGGUUGUAAACCUCUUUUGUCGGGGAGCAAGACCCGCCACGAGUGGCGGAGCGAGAGUACCCGAAGAAAAAGCAUCGGCUAACUCCGUGCCAGCAGCCGCGGUAAUACGGAGGAUGCGAGCGUUAUCCGGGUUUAUUGGGUUUAAAGGGUGCGUAGGCGGUCCGUUAAGUCAGCGGUAAAAUUGCGGGG